rnacentral:rRNA from 1 species
UACGUAGGGUGCAAGCGUUAAUCGGAAUUACUGGGCGUAAAGCGUGCGUAGACGGUUAUGUAAGUCAGAUGUGAAAGCCCCGGGCUCAACCUGGGAAUUGCAUUUGAGACUGCAUAGCUAGGGUGCGGAAGAGGGAAGCGGAAUUUCCGGUGUAGCGGUGAAAUGCGUAGAUAUCGGAAGGAACACCAGUGGCGAAAAGCGGCUUCCUGGUCCAGCACCGACGUCAGGCACGAAAGCGUGGGGAGCAAACAGG